GUCUACAGCCAUGCUACCCUGAACAUGCCUGAUCUCAUUUGAUCUUAGAAGCUAAGCAAGGUGAGGCCUGCUUAGUACUUGAAUGGAAAAAUCUAGUUUUUAGUUU
ensembl:rRNA 5S_rRNA 5S ribosomal RNA